GGGAUAAUGGCUGAUUCUAGGGCUGGAGAAGGGAAGGUAUAAGACAAAUCCAGCAAUCAAACAAUGAUGGCAACAUGAGGUAAGUAAUUAUGGAGCAAUAGGCAUGUUCCGUAUCAGUAUGAUUCAGUGUUUCCAGUAACGAAAAGGAGAGAUUAAUGAGUGGGACAGUGGAGUUUUCCAGAGCCCACAUGUCAUGUGACAUUACGACAGACUGAAGAUGUGACAACUGAAUGUAUGACAAUCCAGCUGGAUUCCAUAAAGCCAGACAUGUGGAUCAAAAUUCAGAGCAGCACAGCUGAGUGGCCGUGGAUGAGCCCCUUAAGAGUUUGGAAGAACCCAGCCCGGCACGUAGCAGAUUCUCAAUAGUUGGCUGAUGAGCGGCACAAACAAAUGAAUAAUUGUGAUCCUGAGCAGUAAGGGGAGUCAGCGUCGUUGACAGAGUUAUAAGCUGAUACUAUUGAAGAGAGUAGACCUUAGGAUGACAAGCCCAGCUCUCCAGAGGACAUUACUCCAGGAUGUCAACCAGACUGAACAGCUUUAACUGUGCAGAUCACCCUCGAGGCCAGGCUGAUUCUGAUUUCCAAGCCUUCAGAACCACAACAGCCAACCUCCUCGGCACUCCCAGCCAGACUGGCCUGAAGGCUGCCAAGCCCUCCGGGCUGGCUCCGCUGUCCACCCUGAAGCUUUAUGGCUUUGGCAAGUCUUUGCUCAUUCUGAGUUCAAAAAUAUUUACUAAAUGUCCUUUAUGUGUCAGGCAUUCAACCUUUUACAUAAAUUAGUUACUUAAAUUCAUUUAGGUCCAUAAAAUAAAGAUAAAAAUAGCUGUCAUACAAGGUUUAUUGUAAAAUUAAAUGAAUUCCAGUAUGUAAGUCCCCUAAUGUUUAAUCUAGUGUAUAGGAGUUCAGAAGAUGACAGCUAUUAAGAGUGAAUAUAAUGAAAUGUGAUUUUAUCCUUCUCCAAAACAAAACAUGACUUGGGAAACAUUACAGUAUUUAAAAGCCAAAUACUGAAUUUUUUGAAAUUUGCAGUUUGAAUAUUUCCUACUUCUCUCUGAACAGGAGUUAUUUAUAUUAGGUUGUAACUGCAGAUGGACUUUAUCUUUAUAUUUGACCCAACAGUACAAAAAUACAAGGAGAUAUUUCCCAAUUACAAAACUCAGGUAACAAUUCUCAUGACUCCCUAGAUUCAUAGUUGUUAAACACUCUGUCUCUCUGCUAAGAACUGCCAUUGUUGCCCAGGGAAAAUCAAUCUCUUCUAAUAUAAGGCGCUUUCAUGGCUACAAGAGCAGUAUUUUCCAAAAGCAAUCUAUGUGUAUGUAUACUUAAUCACAGGCCCUCUGAACCCAAAAUGA